UCUAGAAGCAGGAACACCAACAGAACACCAAUUCCUGUGCUGUUGCACCAGAGCCGCCCCAAGGAGACCCUUCCUUGGCCUGUCCCAGAAGUGGAAACGCCGUCUCUCGGAAUUGCCCCUUUAAUGGCUGCAUGUGGGAGGGAAGGACCUUCCAUUUCUUCUUCCACGUCCUCAUUCGCUUGUUCAAUAUCCACAAAGGCGAACUCUCGGUCCAAACCUCGGGCACAGAAGAAACAUGACAUGUCUUCAUUUUCUCGGAACUGAUUAAAAUUUCACGGAGAGCCUGUAUACUGAAAGGACA